GAUCCUGGCUCAGGAUGAACGCUAGCUACAGGCUUAACACAUGCAAGUCGAGGGGCAGCAUUUUAGUUUGCUUGCAAACUAAAGAUGGCGACCGGCGCACGGGUGAGUAACACGUAUCCAACCUGCCGAUAACUCGGGGAUAGCCUUUCGAAAGAAAGAUUAAUAAUCCGAUGGUAUAUUAAAACCGCAUGGUUUUACUAUUAAGAAUUUCGGUUAUCGAUGGGAUGCGUUCCAUUAGUUUGUUGCGGGUAACGG
rnacentral:rRNA from 1 species